CACGUAGGGGGCAAGCGUUGUCCGGAUUUAUUGGGCGUAAAGAGCUCGUAGGCGGUUCAGUAAGUCAGGUGUGAAACCUCCAGGCUCAACCUGGAGACGCCACCUGAUACUGCUGUGACUGGAGUCCGGUAGGGGAGCGUGGAAUUCCUGGUGUAGCGGUGAAAUGCGCAGAUAUCAGGAGGAACACCGGUGGCGAAGGCGGUUCUCUGGGCCUGUACUGACGCUGAGGAACGAAAGCGUGGGGAGCGAACAGG
rnacentral:rRNA from 1 species